ACAUGCCUACAACAUAGCAUUAAUGUAGAGGAUCCCAUUAGAACUCCAUAGUUAAGCGCGCUCAAGCUAGAGUGGUAUUGGGAUGGGUGUCCGCUUGAGAAAUCCUAAUUUUUUACAUGCC
rnacentral:rRNA from 1 species